GAUGAACGCUGGCGGCGUGCCUAAUACAUGCAAGUCGAGCGAACAGACGAGGAGCUUGCUCCUCUGACGUUAGCGGCGGACGGGUGAGUAACACGUGGAUAACCUACCUAUAAGACUGGGAUAACUUCGGGAAACCGGAGCUAAUACCGGAUAAUAUAUUGAACCGCAUGGUUCAAUAGUGAAAGACGGUUUUGCUGUCACUUAUAGAUGGAUCCGCGCCGCAUUAGCUAGUUGGUAAGGUAACGGCUUACCAAGGCAACGAUGCGUAGCCGACCUGAGAGGGUGAUCGUCCACACUGGAACUGAGACACGGUCCAGACUCCUACGGGAGGCAGCAGUAGGGAAUCUUCCGCAAUGGGCGAAAGCCUGACGGAGCAACGCCGCGUGAGUGAUGAAGGUCUUCGGAUCGUAAAACUCCGUUAUUAGGGAAGAACAAAUGUGUAAGUAACUAUGCACGUCUUGACGGUACCUAAUCAGAAAGCCACGGCUAACUACGUG
rnacentral:rRNA from 1 species